rnacentral:rRNA from 1 species
UAACCUGCCCAAGAGAUCGGGAUAACACCUGGAAACAGAUGCUAAUACCGGAUAACAACAGAUGAUGCCUAUCAACUGUUUAAAAGAUGGUUCUGCUAUCACUCUUGGAUGGACCUGCGGUGCAUUAGCUAGUUGGUAGGGUAACGGCCUACCAAGGCGAUGAUGCAUAGCCGAGUUGAGAGACUGAUCGGCCACAUUGGGACUGAGACACGGCCCAAACUCCUACGGGAGGCAGCACA